GGGGGCGGAGCCGACUGGGCGAGCGGGAGAGACCUGAGAGCGAGGGCACAUUUUGGAGUUCUCCCUCUUUUGGUGUGUGUGUGAUAACAUGAUAAUCAAGAAGCUAUGCACUCUUCAAUCAGGCUACAGAGUGAACAGAAAUUCCUUGUGUACAUGAGGACUCAGAAGGCACAGAAUAUAUAUGGGGGAGCAGGAGAGGAACUGACGUGGGUGAUAAUUUGUCUCGCUCCCCAGUUUUCCAUAUGUAUGGUGUGCCCCUUGUGCUGGAGCGGGAAGCUGGUCUUCAUGGGUAGAACUGGGAGCAGAGAAACAGC